rnacentral:lncRNA from 1 species
AGACUCGGGGCCCCGCGCGCUUGCGCGCCGCCCGCUGCCCGCCGCCCGCCGCGGCUGGGAGUCCGGAGGUUUCAUCUUGUGAUGGUUUCGGUUCGGCUCUCAAAUGGAGGGUAUGGCUACGUUGAAGACAGCUGGGGCUGCCGCACGCCUCGGGGUUACUGUCGGGCACCCGGCGGGCGGGGCCGGCGCUGGGGCGGGGGAGGGCUUCCUCGCCCUCAGAAACCACAUUCGCAGAAACGUUUUUAACUGGCAAGGUUUCGAGUUCCCAACCACAGCACCCUCAGUGAUGGUUUUCAGAAGACCUUGUUAGCUCCUCUCCUCCAGAGACCCAUCCUUCGCUGACAUCCCACCGAUUUGGGAGCAGGAAAAAACAGACUCCUGCAAAAUACCUCUUCUUCCAGUGCCCUGUACCCCUCUCUACUUACUUCGAGUCCCUGCAGUCCAGCAACAACCCCAAACGAGUGAAGGGAGGAGACAUAGGUUUGUCCAGGCUCUGCCACCGACGGGUGAUUUGGGAUGAGUCCUUCUCCAGUAUCAUUAUCUUCAACUGUAAAACAUGAGGGUUAGUCCGAAUGAUCUCCAAACGCUUCAGCAUUAAAGUUAGGUGAUGAAUCCUAAGA